AGUGGAGGAACUCAUUGAUCAACAGUACAGGAUCUGCAGUCUGGAGAUGUUGUUCAGAGUAGACAGAUGAAGAAACGCACCACAGAGAAACUUGAGAGUAAAGAGUGAUGGCUCUUCAGGAGAUCAGUGUGAUCUUCACACACAGACCCUCGGCCUUCUCUGCUGCUGUGCUGCUUCUAACACUCGUCCUCUGCAGAGGAUCAUUUGUAGUGGAUGUGACACAGAGCUCCUAUCAGGCAGAGGAGAACCACAACAUCACACUGGAGUGGACGUUCACCACCAAACC